UAAAAUGGAAUUUUACAAUUUUACACGAACAGAUCUUCUUAAUUUGUGAAAUUUCUCAAUUUAUGCCUGGACACAAUGCGAUUCUAACUUAGAUUAUUCUUAGAGGAUGAGAAUCU